AUGGGCUCAGGACCAUGCACACCAGAGGCAGGUCUGAACACAAGCUCGAUGGCAACUCUCUGCUCAGGCUGCCAAGGCUCCGGCUCCCAACUGCAUCCUCCACCUUCUCUUUCAGAACCAGGCACCAGCACAGGGACUGAAAGCCGAUGGCUGGGAGGAAGGAGUGGUUGUCACAGUCUGCCCAUCCCCGUUGCCUCAUUGCCCACAUGUGGGAGUGCAGCCCCUCUGCAACAGCUGUGGCCCCACAGAGCAGUGGCUCUCACAGUUCCCAACACAACCGUAAGCGAUCUCCUGAACGGAGCGUUCUACCUUCAAGUGAAGAAAAGCAACUGA
rnacentral:lncRNA from 14 species